rnacentral:rRNA from 1 species
GCUGGCGGCGUGCCUAAUACAUGCAAGUCGAACGCUUCUUUCCUCCCGAGUGCUUGCACUCAAUUGGAAAGAGGAGUGGCGGACGGGUGAGUAACACGUGGGUAACCUACCCAUCAGAGGGGGAUAACACUUGGAAACAGGUGCUAAUACCGCAUAACAGUUUAUGCCGCAUGGCAUAAGAGUGAAAGGCGCUUUCGGGUGUCGCUGAUGGAUGGACCCGCGGUGCAUUAGCUAGUUGGUGAGGUAACGGCUCACCAAGGCCACGAUGCAUAGCCGACCUGAGAGGGUGAUCGGCCACACUGGGACUGAGACACGGCCCAGACUCCUACGGGAGGCAGCAGUAGGGAAUCUUCGGCAAUGGACGAAAGUCUGACCGAGCAACGCCGCGUGAGUGAAGAAGGUUUUCGGAUCGUAAAACUCUGUUGUUAGAGAAGAACAAGGACGUUAGUAACUGAACGUCCCCUGACGGUAUCUAACCAGAAAGCCACGGCUAACUACGUGCCAGCAGCCGCGGUAAUACGUAGGUGGCAAGCGUUGUCCGGAUUUAUUGGGCGUAAAGCGAGCGCAGGCGGUUUCUUAAGUCUGAUGUGAAAGCCCCCGGCUCAACCGGGGAGGGUCAUUGUAAACUGGGAGACUUGAGUGCAGAAGAGGAGAGUGGAAUUCCAUGUGUAGCGGUGAAAUGCGUAGAUAUAUGGAGGGAACCCCAGUGGCGAAGGGGGGCUCUCUGGUCUGUAACUGACGUUGAGGCUUGAAAGCGUGGGGAGCAAACAGGAUUAGAUACCUUGGUAGUCCACGCCGUAAACGAUGAGUGUUAAGUGUUGGAGGGUUUCCGCCUUUCAGUGCUGCAGCAAACGCAUUAAGCACUCCGCCUGGGGAGUACGACCGCAAGGUUGAAACUCAAAGGAAUUGACGGGGGCCCGCACAAGCGGUGGAGCAUGUGGUUUAAUUCGAAGCAACGCGAAGAACCUUACCAGGUCUUGACAUCCUUUGACCACUCUAGAGAUAGAGCUUUCCCUUCGGGGACAAAGUGACAGGUGGUGCAUGGUUGUUGUCAGCUCGUGUCGUGAGAUGUUGGGUUAAGUCCCGCAACGAGCGCAACCCUUAUUGUUAGUUGCCAUCAUUUAGUUGGGCACUCUAGCGAGACUGCCGGUGACAAACCGGAGGAAGGUGGGGAUGACGUCAAAUCAUCAUGCCCCUUAUGACCUGGGCUACACACGUGCUACAAUGGGAAGUACAACGAGUCGCUAGACCGCGAGGUCAUGCAAAUCUCUUAAAGCUUCUCUCAGUUCGGAUUGCAGGCUGCAACUCGCCUGCAUGAAGCCGGAAUCGCUAGUAAUCGCGGAUCAGCACGCCGCGGUGAAUACGUUCCCGGGCCUUGUACACACCGCCCGUCACACCACGAGAGUUUGUAACACCCGAAGUCGGUGAGGUAACCUUUUUGGAGCCAGCCGCCUAAGGUGGGAUAGAU